rnacentral:rRNA from 1 species
CCCUACGGGGCGCAGCAGUGAGGAAUAUUGGUCAAUGGGCGAGAGCCUGAACCAGCCAAGUCGCGUGAGGGAAGACGGUCCUAUGGAUUGUAAACCUCUUUUGCCGGGGAGCAAAAAGCGGUACGUGUACCGCAUCGAGAGUACCCGGAGAAAAAGCAUCGGCUAACUCCGUGCCAGCAGCCGCGGUAAUACGGAGGAUGCGAGCGUUAUCCGGAUUUAUUGGGUUUAAAGGGUGCGUAGGCGGACUGUUAAGCCAGCGGUAAAAGCCCGGGGCUCAACCCCGGCGAGCCGGUGAAGCUGGCUGU